UACGGAGGGUGCGAGCGUUGUCCGGAAUCACUGGGCGUAAAGGGUGCGCAGGCGGCCGUGUGUGUGAGGCGUGAAAGCCCGGGGCUUAACCCCGGAAUUGCACCUCAAACUACAUGGCUAGAGCAUUGGAGAGGGUAGCAGAAUUCAUGGUGUAGCAGUGAAAUGCGUAGAUAUCAUGAGGAAUACCAGAGGCGAAGGCGGCUACCUGGACAAUUGCUGACGCUCAGGCACGAAAGCGUGGGGAGCAAAAGGG
rnacentral:rRNA from 1 species